rnacentral:rRNA from 1 species
UACGGAAGGUCCGGGCGUUAUCCGGAUUUAUUGGGUUUAAAGGGCGUGCAGCCGGAGAGACAAGUCAGAUGUGAAAUCCACAGGCUCAACCUGUGAACUGCAUUUGAAACUGUUUCCCUUGAGUAUCGGAGAGGUCAUCGGAAUUCCUAGUGUAGCGGUGAAAUGCGUAGAUAUUAGGAAGAACACCAGUGGCGAAGGCGGCUGUCUGGUCUGCAACUGACGCUGAGGCUCGAAAGCAUGGGUAGCGAACAGG